UACGUAGGGGGCGAGCGUUGUCCGGAAUCAUUGGGCGUAAAGCGCGCGUAGGCGGCCCGGUAAGUCCGCUGUGAAAGUCCAGGGCUCAACCCUGGGAUGCCGGUGGAUACUGUCGGGCUCGAGUCCGGAAGAGGCGAGUGGAAUUCCUGGUGUAGCGGUGAAAUGCGCAGAUAUCAGGAGGAACACCAAUGGCGAAGGCAGCUCGCUGGGACGUGACUGACGCUGAGACGCGAAAGCGUGGGGAGCAAACAGG
rnacentral:rRNA from 1 species